GCUGAGGCAUCACUCUCCUUUGUCCAAAGGCCCUCUGAUAGCACCACCUGCAGAAGGAAGUAAGGACCGCCAGGAAAAGGCACUGGGCCCGGUGGAUCCUCCCACACAGUCUCAGGAAUGUUACAACAGGCCAUGGCCGCCAAAUCCGCAGGUACUUAGGGCAGCGUGGAGGAGAAUGGACAACUGGCUGCUGCUGCUGCGGGACCAGCUGGUGGGCGAGGUGAUCACCACACUGGCUUCCCCGGACCUGGGGUCGGGGAUGGGGGCAGAGUCUGCCCAGGAGCCCCAGAGGCCUGAUGGUGACCAUGUUCUCUGGACUCCCAGCAAGGCCGCUUCUGCUCACUGCCUGCUCCUGCAGCACCUCUUCUACCUGGUGGUGUUUGACAUUCUGCAAGGCCACGAUGUUGGACCACAGGGAUUCCAUCCCUGCCUGUAGGGGCCCUGCUGAGACACCUGAGAGAUGACUCAGGUGCAUUCAAAUGAGGGCUCUGAAACUCACACCUCAGGAGCUUCAUAGACCAUCCACUGGUUCCCAGUGUCCUGUGGACCCCACCUUGGAUGCUAAAUCUCCCACCAUCAGAAGCCUUUGCUGCCUCAGAAGCAUGCGGUGUGAAAUGUUCAAGGUGAUGAAAAGCAAGGGCCUACAACCAAGGCUACCUGGCCCAGAAAGGCUAUCAUUUCAAAAUGAAGAAGAAAUAAGAAACUUCACAGACAAGAAAAAGUUAAAGGAGUUUGUUAACACCAAACGGUACAGCACCUAAUGUUAAAGAACUUUCUUUAAGUUGAAGGACAAAGAGAAUUAGAAGUAAAAAGAGGAGGAGAAGGAGGAGGAGAAGGAGGAGGAGGAGGAGGAGAAGAGGAAGAAGAAGGAAAAGGAGAAGAAGGAGAAAUAAGGGAAAUUAAGAAAGAAAAGAGGAAAGUAGGGUUAAAAUAAAAUGGCACUAAAUACGUAUCUAUCAAUAGUUGCUUUAAACAUAAAUGGCUUUAAUGCUCCAACCAAAAGACAUAGGGUAGGUGAAUGGGUAAGAAAACAAGACCCAUACACAUGUUCCCUCAAAACCCACUUCAGAUCAAAAGAUACACACAGUCUGAAAGUAUAGGAAUGGAUAGAGUCAUUUUAUGCAAAGAGAAAGAAAAGAAAAAGCUGGGUUGCAUUACUAUCCAACAAAAUACACUUUUAACCAAGGCUAUAUUAAAUGACAGAGAAAGCCAUUACAUACUGAUAGAAGAAACACUCCAGCAAGAGGAUUUAACCCGAAUUAAUAAUUACACACCCAAUAGAGGAGCACCUAAACAUGUAGAGCAAAUAUCUAUGGACAUAAAGGGAGAGGAUGACAGAAAAAUAGUCCCAGUCAGGGCUUCUAACACUCCAUUGACUUCAGUGGAUAGAUCUUCCAGACAGAAAACCAACAAGGAUACCAUGGCCUGAAAUUACAUUGCAUCAGAAGGAUUUAUUUGAUAUCUUCAGAGCAUUUCAUUCCAAAGCAGUAGAAUAUACAUAUUCUUCAAGGGCCCAUGGAACUUUUUCUAGGAUAUGCCACAUGUUAGGAUAUAAAAAAAGUCUCAAGAAAUUCAAGAAGGCUGAAAUCAUAUCAAGAUUUUAAUCUGACCUCAAUCCUGUGGAAGUGGAAAUCAAUCCUAAGAAGUACCCUGAAAAACACACAAAGACAUGGAAGCUAAGUAACAUGAUAUUAAAGAAUCAGUAAGUCAACACUGAGGUAAAGGAAGCAAUGAGAAGGCACCUUGCAACAAAUGAAAAUGAGACCACAACAAUUCAAAAUCUGUGGAACACUAUGAAAGCAAUCUUAAAAGGAAAAUAUAGCAUUACAGGGCUAUCUCAAAAAAUCUCCACAAAUAAACUCCAA